UUGUGGAUUCUGACAACCAAGAUGGCAUUUAUUGAAAUUCAGUACUGGAAAGAUAAAAUCCUAUUGGUUGACGUUCCUGUUUUCUUGGGUUUUUAGUUAUUCAGCUCUUGCAGGGUUGAUGUGCAGUGCUGAUAAGUUUAAAAUCCCUUCCAGUUGCAAUUUUGGACUCCUAAAAGACUUGGCUAAGAAAUGAUUUUAACUGCUCGAUUUCCAUUCAAUCAAACAAGAAAGAUUCUGACUUUGUCAUAACAGGAUCAGUCUCUGAUGAUAUAGCAAAUGGAAAGUGACUAGGUUAAGCAUGUUCGUCAACAGCGUCAAGAGAAGCACACAAUUAUGUAGAUGUUUGAGUAAUUAUCUUGCUUUUUAUACCACAAGGUAAAGGUCCUCAUUGUUUAAAAUCAGCUGUGCUACUAAAUCUUAAGUAAAGCUCCAUCUUCUUGUUCCUGUUAAUGGUGGAGCAGAUGAAUUAAGAAAGUGACAGCAAGUUAAAAAUCAGUCAUUGCAAUUUAUUUUUAAAUUAUUGUGUUUUAAGAGAUGUAUUACUUAGCAGAUAUUAACUACAAGAAAAGUCACCAUAUUCCUGCUGGAUCAAAGGACUUCUCUCUGAGAUGACUGAUGGUGAGUUUAACCUGAGGGUCACCACGCCUCUGGCGAGGGGAAAUGUUGAGAAGGAGAGUCCUUCAUAGUAACCUCAGUCAGUGCAGGAUUUGAACCCAUGCUGUUGGCUUCGCUCUGCAUCACAAACCAACCAUCCAACUAACUGACCAUCCAGAUAUUAACUAUUAUUAGAUAUUAACUGUUCGCACUUGGAAGGGUCGCUUAAAUUCAGCUUGUUUUAGUAGAGAUGUUUGAUUAAAUAACUGUACAAUUUUGAUAAUUUCAGCUGCCUUUACUUACUUUUCAGGUGGUUAGUUCAACGAAUGGAGAACUGAAUACAGAUGAUCCCACAGCAGGACACUCCAAUGCACCAAUCACAGCCCCAGCAGAAGUGGAAGUUAUGGAUGAAACAAACUGCCAGAAAGUGUUGAACAUGUGGUGCUGCUGUUUCUUCAAGCGGAGAAAAAGGAAAACUAUUCAACGUCACAAAUGACUCUGGAAAUCGUCUGAUCAUGGAGAGUUACUUACUUGUUCAUCUGCUGUCUCAUCAUAACCAAGAAACAAAUCAUCUCUGCAGUGACAACAGACUUUUAUCAAAAGAUGUUUUCCUUCUGUUUUUGCCCAGUGAUUUGGGUGGUUGUCCUAUGUGGGUAUUUUGUUUUUAUUUCAUCAGUCUUCAUCUUGAAACUAGGCUUCAUCAGAAAUUUGGUGUUCAUAUUUUUGAGGUUAAAAGAGGGACCUCUUGUCAGGGUAAAUGUAUGAAACAAAAAACAGUUCACUUGACUUCAACCAAAUCAAACUGCAAUUUUUAAAAAAAGGAUUGAUUUGGUCCCAACAUGUGGAAGGCAGGAAUAUUCUAUGUGCUUGGUGAUGGUAACUACAGAACAGUUGCAAUUCAAGAAUGAAUUUUGCCUACACAGGAGCUGCUUUGAAUAGAUCUGUAGUAACUGCAUAGUCAGGUAUUUGGUCUGCCAACUGGGGGACUCAAGACAUGAUUGUCACUGUCCUAUCAAAUGGAGAAACUUGAGAAAACAAACCACAAAAAAAGUCUGAAUUGUACAUUAACCCUUCAUUUGUCUUAGUUGAAGACAUCUGCACAGAAUUUUCAGUAUUAAAUUUUAUGCUAUCUUUAUCUGUCUUUUCGGAAGUCACUGACCAGAAAUACCGUGGAAGGAAAGGAUUGAUUCAGCAGGUGGUAUUUCAUGGCUGUUGCACUGUUACAAUAUAUACAACAUGAGACAGCUGUAGACAUUCAUGUGUACAAACAAUACUUGCUUUAUUUACCUCCUAAAGGAGAAGCAGUGUAGUAGAAAGGGCAGCAUGUGCUUAUUGUCUGAUAUUAUGACAUGUUUGUAAAAUGUAAACUGUGCUUCCUGGUGUUUUGUUUGGACAGAUUAAUGCUGAAUGUUCUGAGAGUUAUUAUAAUGAAGGAGGUAAGAGACCAUUCUGAUCAUGCCUUGAAGUGUACUAUGUGUUAAGACAUGGAGUAAAGCUGUGAUGGUGAAUAAUGAAAAAUGCAUCUUGGAGAAAUUAAUUAGGCCUAAAUGGAUUUUAGGCAAGUCCUGGCUAAUUUUAAUGUACCCUGUACAACCAGGGAACUUGGAUGCCGAAUGUCUAAUCCAUAAAGUAGCUCUUUAAUGGAAAGUUAAAAUAAGAAUGUGAAAGAAAUUGGUCAGAUAAUAUUGCCUUUUGCAUUUAAUAGCUGUGGCACCCAAACUGUGCAGUUGUAUGUGAAACAUUCCUUUCUUAUCGUAAUCACAGCUGUUCAAAGACGUUAUGCUGGAGAUGGGUCAGGUACUUUCCCAAUAAACCCUUGAAGUGCCUGCAUUUUGAACAAACCAGCUGUUCUAUAAAACAUCUCAUUCCGUUUUCCAUCCUCUGAUCAACAGUUUGUUUCCACAGACGUUUAAAUACAAUGUUGUGCAGUGUUUAUCAACUGUUUUAUACACUGUUUUUAGUUUCAAUCUUGCGCUGGAUAUUCUUAACCUUUUUUGUUCGAUCAGCAAUGUCAUGUUCUGGAUUAGUCUGAUGCAAUGUAUUAAUUUAUGAUGAUAUGUUGCAUGCAAACUUCUUAGCGUUUGUGUGAGAAAGACUGGAAUACAAGGCAGAAUAUUUUAACAUGAAACUGCAAUCAUAAUGGCAGGGAACCACUUCUAUGUCUGCAGUAUUUGACCAAAUUUUUUUUUCUUUAAUAGCAUAAUAUGUGUAAAUAAGUACAGUAUUAUUUCUGUACCUCCAUAAAUUUGAACAUCACUUUCGAUUGACUUUAAUUGGUAGUUUUAUUUUUGCCUGUACAGUGUGUACAACAUGAAGUUGUCACAAAUAGCAAAGAAAGUGUGUUGUAUAUUAAUGUAAUUAUGGACUGUAAUCUUUACAAACGAAUCAGCCACCCUUCGUUGUCUGCAACGAAGACCAGUGCAUUUACACAAGCUUAUUGGCAAGAUUUCUAGUGCUGCAUUUUACGCCUGGGAAGAAGUUUCUUUCUGGUGAUACAGGCUGGUCAUGGUUAUAAAUCCAGCUGUGUUCAGUUUAGGCCAACAGUUUUACGCAGUCACCGCUUUUCUGUCAAUACUAAUAAAAUGAACUCUGCCUGACUGUACAAGUGAUGUAAUACAUCCCUGUUUCCCAAUAUGUAAGUGAAAAAAAUAAAAGUAGUUUUUUUUAAAA